GAUGAACGCUGGCGGCGUGCCUAAUACAUGCAAGUCGAGCGAACAGACGAGGAGCUUGCUCCUCUGACGUUAGCGGCGGACGGGUGAGUAACCCGUGGAUAACCUACCUAUAAGACUGGGAUAACUUCGGGAAACCGGAGCUAAUACCGGAUAAUAUAUUGAACCGCAUGGUUCAAUAGUGAAAGACGGUUUUGCUGUCACUUAUAGAUGGAUCCGCGCCGCAUUAGCUAGUUGGUAAGGUAACGGCUUACCAAGGCAACGAUGCGUAGCCGACCUGAGAGGGUGAUCGGCCACACUGGAACUGAGACACGGUCCAGACUCCUACGGGAGGCAGCAGUAGGGAAUCUUCCGCAAUGGGCGAAAGCCUGACGGAGCAACGCCGCGUGAGUGAUGAAGGUCUUCGGAUCGUAAAACUCUGUUAUUAGGGAAGAACAAAUGUGUAAGUAACUAUGCACGUCUUGACGAUACCUAAUCAGAAAGCCACGGCUAACUACGUG
rnacentral:rRNA from 1 species